GCGGACCAUGCUCGCUCUGCCGUAUUCCUCGCUGAGCUUAAAAAUAAGGUAGAGAGGUGCACCACCCCGGUCGUGGUGGCCGAGGACUUCAACCUCAUUAGAUGGGCUUCUGAUAAAAGCUCGCCUAAUGUUGAUCGGGUCUGCAUGCGUCUAUUUAACGACUGCAUUGCAGACCUUGCGCUCCGUGAGAUAGCCCGCGUAGGGGCUAGGUUCACGUGGACGAAUAAGCAGGCGGACCCCAUCCGGAGUGUUUUGGAUCGGGUAUUUGUGUCGGCUCAGUGGGAAGUGAUGUUCCCAUUUUGCUCUCUCAAGGCCAUG
rnacentral:rRNA from 1 species